rnacentral:rRNA from 1 species
GAUGAACGCUGGCGGCGUGCCUAAUACAUGCAAGUCGAGCGAACGGACGAGAAGCUUGCUUCUCUGAUGUUAGCGGCGGACGGGUGAGUAACACGUGGAUAACCUACCUAUAAGACUGGGAUAACUUCGGGAAACCGGAGCUAAUACCGGAUAAUAUUUUGAACCGCAUGGUUCAAAAGUGAAAGACGGUCUUGCUGUCACUUAUAGAUGGAUCCGCGCUGCAUUAGCUAGUUGGUAAGGUAACGGCUUACCAAGGCAACGAUGCAUAGCCGACCUGAGAGGGUGAUCGGCCACACUGGAACUGAGACACGGUCCAGACUCCUACGGGAGGCAGCAGUAGGGAAUCUUCCGCAAUGGGCGAAAGCCUGACGGAGCAACGCCGCGUGAGUGAUGAAGGUCUUCGGAUCGUAAAACUCUGUUAUUAGGGAAGAACAUAUGUGUAAGUAACUGUGCACAUCUUGACGGUACCUAAUCAGAAAGCCACGGCUAACUACGUGCCAGCAGCCGCGGUAAUACGUAGGUGGCAAGCGUUAUCCGGAAUUAUUGGGCGUAAAGCGCGCGUGGGCGGUUUUUUAAGUCUGAUGUGAAAGCCCACGGCUCAACCGUGGAGGGUCAUUGGAAACUGGAAAACUUGAGUGCAGAAGAGGAAAGUGGAAUUCCAUGUGUAGCGGUGAAAUGCUCAGAGAUAUGGAGGAACACCAGUGGCGAAGGCGACUUUCUGGUCUGUAACUGACGCUGAUGUGCGAAAGCGUGGGGAUCAAACAGGAUUAGAUACCCUGGUAGUCCACGCCGUAAACGAUGAGUGCUAAGUGUUAGGGGGUUUCCGCCCCUUAGUGCUGCAGCUAACGCAUUAAGCACUCCGCCUGGGGAGUACGACCGCAAGGUUGAAACUCAAAGGAAUUGACGGGGACCCGCACAAGCGGUGGAGCAUGUGGUUUAAUUCGAAGCAACGCGAAGAACCUUACCAAAUCUUGACAUCCUUUGACAACUCUAGAGAUAGAGCCUUCCCCUUCGGGGGACAAAGUGACAGGUGGUGCAUGGUUGUCGUCAGCUCGUGUCGUGAGAUGUUGGGUUAAGUCCCGCAACGAGCGCAACCCUUAAGCUUAGUUGCCAUCAUUAAGUUGGGCACUCUAAGUUGACUGCCGGUGACAAACCGGAGGAAGGUGGGGAUGACGUCAAAUCAUCAUGCCCCUUAUGAUUUGGGCUACACACGUGCUACAAUGGACAAUACAAAGGGCAGCGAAACCGCGAGGUCAAGCAAAUCCCAUAAAGUUGUUCUCAGUUCGGAUUGUAGUCUGCAACUCGACUACACGAAGCUGGAAUCGCUAGUAAUCGUAGAUCAGCAUGCUACGGUGAAUACGUUCCCGGGUCU